UACGGGGGGUGCAAGCGUUAUCCGGAUUCACUGGGUUUAAAGGGUGCGUAGGUGGGCAGGUAAGUCAGUGGUGAAAUCUCUGGGCUUAACCCGGAAACUGCCGUUGAUACUAUCUGUCUUGAAUAUAGUGGAGGUGAGCGGAAUAUGUCAUGUAGCGGUGAAAUGCUUAGAUAUGACAUAGAACAUCGAUUGCGAAGGCAGCUCGCUACACUAUGAUUGACACUGAGGCACGAAAGCGUGGGGAUCAAACAGG
rnacentral:rRNA from 1 species